rnacentral:rRNA from 1 species
AUGGCUAGUAAUUGGAGUUUCAGACAAUUUGGGGAGGUAAUUUGUAGCCAAUAUCCUUGGGGUUUGCUUGAUGAAGUGGUUUACAAAUACUAUGAUGGGGGAAAGAAUUGGGUGACAGUUAGUAAUGAUGAAGAGCUAGCUACCAUGUUUGUUAGGCAUAAAGAGAAAGAUAAUUUCCAUGUGAGGCUGCAAGUUGAUGUGCUUGAGCAGGCAUUUGGACCUAGGAUGGCGGGUGCAACAUCUCGGGGAGAAUCAAGUCGUCGUAAUGGCAUCUCUAGCCAGAACAGUUCAGUUGGUGGACGGCGACGUGGUGGCUCGACAAGUGUGGGCAACAGCAGUAGGGUCCUCCUUGAAGCGGAGCCUGAUGGCUACAAUUCUGGGGUUGAUGAAGAGAAGUUAUAUUCUGAUGUUAUUCAGAAUUUACGACGGGCACCUAGGGCUGAAAACCAAGAUGAGGCUCACAAUGCAGUCCGUGUGGAUGAUGACGCGAUGGGUGAGGACGAAGACCUUGCAGCUGUUCAAUGGGACCCUUUGAACCCUCAAAUGGAAGAAGGUACAGUUUUUGCAUCCAUGAAUGAGUGUAGAAAUGCACUUGUGACAUACUGCAUCAAGGUAGAACGUACUUUCAAAGUUGACAAGAGCGAUCAAGUACGUUACAGAGUGCACUGUCCGACUGAGGGUUGUCCAUGGAGGCUGCUUGCAGCUAAAAUGCGGAAUAGCACUAAUGUUCAGGUCAAAGUGAAUCCUUUUAAGCACACAUGUCAGGAAUCAACCCUUAGGAAGGAUACAAUCAGUAGAGCCAAGUCAAGAUGGGUGGCAGAAGAAGUAAAAAAGUGGGUGAAAGAAAACCAACAAGUGGGUCCAAAGGAAUUGCAGAAGAACAUCAAAGAUAAGUUCAAGAUAGAUUUACCAUACAUGAGGUUGUUCAAUGGUAAACAACAUGCUAUGGAUUCUAUUUAUGGAAGGUUUAAAGGACAGUUAGUAGCAGCUUGUGCAGUUGAUGCACAUAGUUUUGUAUUUCCAGUUGCCUAUGGUGUGCUAGAGACAGAGUCUGAGGAGAGCUGGACUUGGUUUUUGCAUAAUCUCCGCCGGGCUAUUGCACAUCCCAAUGGGUUGGUCAUUCAUACAGAUGCCUGCAAAGGUUUAGAAGUGGCCGUGGACAAUGUGUUCCCUGGAGUAGAGCAUAGGGAAUGCAUGCGUCACCUUGCUGCAAAUUUCAUGAAGAAAUUCAAAUGA